UACGUAGGGUGCAAGCGUUAUCCGGAAUUAUUGGGCGUAAAGAGCUCGUAGGCGGUUUGUCGCGUCUGCUGUGAAAACUGGAGGCUCAACCUCCAGCCUGCAGUGGGUACGGGCAAACUAGAGUGCGGUAGGGGAGAUUGGAAUUCCUGGUGUAGCGGUGGAAUGCGCAGAUAUCAGGAGGAACACCGAUGGCGAAGGCAGAUCUCUGGGCCGUAACUGACGCUGGAGGAGCGAAAGCGUGGGGAGCGAACAGG
rnacentral:rRNA from 1 species